rnacentral:rRNA from 1 species
AACGAACGCUGGCGGCAGGCUUAACACAUGCAAGUCGAGCGCCACCUUCGGGUGGAGCGGCGGACGGGUGAGUAACGCGUGGGAACGUGCCCUUCUCUAAGGAAUAGCCACUGGAAACGUGAGUAAUACCUUAUACGCCCUUCGGGGGAAAAGAAUUUCGGAGAAGGAUCGGCCCGCGUUAGAUUAGGUAGUUGGUGGGGUAAUGGCCCACAAGCCGACGAUCUAUAGCUGGUUUGAGAGGAUGAUCAGCCACACUGGACUGAGACACGGCCCAGACUCCUACGGAGGCAGCAGUGAGGAAUCUUGGACAAUGGGGGCAACCCUGAUCCAGCCAUGCCGCGUGAGCGAUGAAGGCCUUAGGGUGUAAAGUUCUUUCAACGGUGAAGAUAAUGACGUAGCCGUAGAAG